ACGGGUGAGUAACACGUGGAUAACCUACCUAUAAGACUGGGAUAACUUCGGGAAACCGGAGCUAAUACCGGAUAAUAUAUUGAACCGCAUGGUUCAAUAGUGAAAGACGGUUUUGCUGUCACUUAUAGAUGGAUCCGCGCCGCAUUAGCUAGUUGGUAAGGUAACGGCUUACCAAGGCAACGAUGCGUAGCCGACCUGAGAGGGUGAUCGGCCACACUAGAACUGAGACACGGUCCAG
rnacentral:rRNA from 1 species